CAAAAGGGGCUUGCUUACCAUGCAGUCGAACGAUGAACCCGAAGCUUGCUUUGGGGGAUUAGUGGCGAACGGGUGAGUAACACGUGAGCAACCUGCCCCUCACUCUGGGAUAAGCGCUGGAAACGGCGUCUAAUACUGGAUACGAGACGCGACCGCAUGGUCAGUGUCUGGAAAGAUUUUUUGGUGGGGGAUGGGCUCGCGGCCUAUCAGCUUGUUGGUGAGGUAAUGGCUCACCAAGGCGUCGACGGGUAGCCGGCCUGAGAGGGUGACCGGCCACACUGGGACUGAGACACGGCCCAGACUCCUACGGGAGGCAGCAGUGGGGAAUAUUGCACAAUGGGCGGAAGCCUGAUGCAGCAACGCCGCGUGAGGGAUGACGGCCUUCGGGUUGUAAACCUCUUUUAGCAGGGAAGAAGCGAAAGUGACGGUACCUGCAGAAAAAGCACCGGCUAACUACGUGCCAGCAGCCGGCGGUAAUA
rnacentral:rRNA from 1 species